UGGGGAAUUUUGGACAAUGGGGGGAACCCUGAUCCAGCAAUACCGCGUGUGUGAAGAAGGCCUGCGGGUUGUAAAGCACUUUAGGUGGGGAGGAAAGCUUUUGUUUUAAUAAAGCAAAAGGGUGACGUUACCCACAGAAUAAGCACCGGCUAACUCUGUGCCAGCAGCCGCGGUAAUACAGAGGGUGCAAGCGUUAAUCGGAAUUACUGGGCGUAAAGCGCAUGUAGGUGGUUUAAUAAGUUUGAUGUGAAAGCCCCGGGCUUAACCUGGGAAUGGCAUUGAGUACUGUUAGACUUGAGUCGGAUAGAGGGCAGUGGAAUUUCCGGUGUAGCGGUGAAAUGCGUAGAGAUCGGAAAGAACAUCAGUGGCGAAGGCGUCUGCCUGGAUCCAGACUGACACUUAAGUGCGAAAGCGUGGGGAGCAAACAG
rnacentral:rRNA from 1 species